rnacentral:lncRNA from 1 species
GUGGAGCUGUGCAUCCCCUUAGCCUUGCUGCGCUGCCAGAGACAGGCAGCUUGGUCACUGCCCUUCGCCAUUGCCCUAAACGAAGAUUUGGUGGUCACCAGCCCCGCCUGGCUGACAUGGAGAGCAGCGCGGGAGCCAGGGGAGGGACGGCGCAUCGAGCUGCCCCGGCUGCGGGUCCUGGAGAAGUUGACCAGAACAAAUCCCAGCGGGAACACACAAACCGCUAUUAUAUCUCCCAAAUAACGCUCCAUUCAGCGUAACCAGGCAGAUGGGAAGGGCCCUUUGAUUUCCUCCUGCKCUCUCCGGCUGAGUUCAUUCUCUCCUUUGCUGGGAGUCAGGUUCAAAGACAUGUCAAAUGCAUCAAAACCUUCGCAAUAAAGUGCCUUUGCCCUCGCGGCAGACCGCGGCGAUGCCGGCAGUGUGCUGGGAGCGCUCGGCCGGCGUUGCCCUGCCCCGCUCCGCCGGGGACUUUCAGGACUGUGUGUGGCAAAGCGUGUGCGCCGUUACCAUUGACAAUAAGGAGGGUUAG